UCUACGGGCGCGGGGGAGGCGCAGUGGUACAGCCUCCCGGUGGACCCACGGCGAGUCCCCGGGUUCGCGAGGCGUAGCCCGCCCCCCCCCCCCAAGGCCGUGCCGGGAUUCCCGUGUCGCGGUGUUUUCGUCUUCCCCGGACAUGGAGGGGUUCCUGGAGAAAGAAGGGGAGGGGGAGGCCGCCAUCUUGCUUCUGGGGGCUGCUAGGUUCUCUUGCAAGAGUUUUCCAGUGUGUAGCCUGCAACGUGGUUUGUCGCAGAUCAAGUCCGAGUUGGUGGAUUGGUCGCUUGUCCUGGUUGGAGGGUCUCGGUAGCUGACCGAGUGGAGAACUGGCCUCAGCAUAUGGGCUUCGGGUUCCUUUUGGAGUAGACCCUUCGACACUAGAUUUGGCACUGAGAUAAGGCGACGGCUCCGUAACACACUAAUGUCUUAAAUUAGUAGUUAAACUGAAUCGGUUGUUUUCUUUAAAACUGCCCACAAGUUCGAGAUAGUUUGCCUAGUGUCUGUUAGCGGCCACACGUUCUUCCCUGGACUUUAAAAUUCUCAUUUCCUUUGGCCCCAAAUGAAGAACCAACGGCUUGGUUGGUUGGCAUGACUACUUAAAGGAAUGAAUGUACACUCAAUCAAGUUUGCAGUCUAGAAACCUAGUACUUGGCGUUUGGAAGUAUGAAUGGAGGGAAGACUUGAUAACUUUACUAACAAUAGGUUAGAGUUUUAAACUUAAGUAUGAUCUUUUUUCCAGUACAAAAAGACGAUGGUAAAUGUGGAUCCAAAUAAAGGGAGUCCCCGCAGAACAGGGAUCAGUGGUUCAUGGAGAAGGCUGAGUGCCACUUAUCUGUCUUAAAAGUUCUACAAGAGCUGAUGAGAAAGAUGAGGCUACAGAAGGAGACAGGAGUCAAGUCAUGGCUGGCUUUUGUGUCUAUUAAAUUCUGGAAGUAGAAUGGCUGGAUACAUCAAAUUUUAAGCAGUUUAUAAAUGGAGGACCGAUUAAUGGGGGAGUUGGGCAGUAUAGCAAACAUAGAGUAGACAGUGAACUAUUGCAGAAGAGGAAAGAGAAAGGUAUUUUUAAUAGUGCCAGUAACCAACCAAAAGAUGAUUCCCAGAUGAUGAAGCCAUAUAAGCAUCAUAAGCCAAAUAAGAAUUGUUUGCUGGGCAGCUGGAGGAUCAAAAACCAACUGGAGAACAGGACCUUAUAGCAUCAGCGCUGCCCCUACAAGUCUCUGUCUUUGCAUGCUGUCAGCAGAUCAGGAUGUAAAAGUCUCAGCUACUUCUGCAACAUCAUGCCUCCCUGCCUCUUGCCAUUUUAGUGGUGGACUGAUCCUCUGAAAGUAUAAACAAUUUCCCCUACCUCACCGAAUGUUUUCUUUUAUAAGUGUUGCCUUGGACAUGGUGUCUCUUCACAUCAACAGAAUAAUAACUGAGAUUGAUCAUGGCAUUUUAUAACAGCAAUACAAAUCUUUACCUCAGUAUGCAGAAAAUCUGCACACAGA
rnacentral:lncRNA from 1 species